GAGGAUAUGGCGCUUGUCCUUAAGUCUAGUUGUCGGUGUAGGCAAGAAUCAUACAAUUAUAAUUCAGUAUAUAAACUAUUACCACCAAGGUAAGAACAAAGCACUAAUGAAGGACAUCCAACCCAGUUUGGAGGUGGUUGGGGGCCAGGUCUUCACAAAGAAAGAGGCACUUAAGCUCACAUCAAAAAGGACGAGUGGGAAUUAGCUCAGUGAAAAAUAAAACAGGGACAGAGUGCUACAGGCAAAGAGAAUAAGCAGACAAAAGCUGGCAGGUGAGAAAGUGGGUCAGCAUUAUUGGAUCUCUGAGAGCUGCAGGCCAGGCCCAGGUCACGCAGUCUUGUGUUUCAGAUUAAGGAAUUUUGAUGUUGUUAUAAAGACAAUCAUGAGCUAGGAUAUUGUUCCUCAGGGUGGUGAUUCUCAGUGAGCUCUGUUGCCUGACUUUGGUGACUCCAGCAAGCAUCCUUCUGAGAGGCUGCUGACAGAUCUCAGGGAUCCUGGAGUGAUAGAUGCCGAAUGCAAUUGAGGAUCUCCAAGGACCUGCAUAGCACAAUGGUGAGCCCCUGUGAGAUGAGUGUGCAAGGAGUGUGGAGUAUUACAUCUAAAGGCCAUAACAACAAUAGAAGCGAUGGCAACAAAAUGUAAGUGAUUAUGCAACACCAAAUAUAAUGAGUACGGCUAUCUGUCAUCCAUAGAAUCCAUAAACCCAAAAGGCACCCCAAGAUCAAGACCCAUUCCCUGAUUUUUUUUUUGACAGGCAGAGUGGAUAGUGAGAGAGAGAGAGAGAGAGACAGAGAGAAAGGUCUUCCUUUUGCCGUUGGUUCACCCUCCAAUGUGUUCCCCAAAGAUUUGGUUUCCAAAGUCUUAUGUUAGUGGUUAAUGGAUAAGUGUUUAUGGAUUAAGGGUGGACACUUGAUCUCAUUGAGAUAUCAGUAAGGUG
rnacentral:lncRNA from 1 species